GAUUGUCCUCCAUGGUUCUGAACCACCAAAUCGCAUUAAUUGUGCUACUGGAGCAGCUUUACAGGUGAUCCAUCCUCUUUCACAUCAUGCACACUUGUAUAUGCUCUUGCAUGAUCCAAUGGCCAUCUUAUGACUGCCAUGACCUCGACCCAUGUACUCUUACAUGAUCCCAUGGCCAUCUUGUGACUACCAUGACCUCGACCCAUGUACUCUUACAUGAUCCCAUGGCCAUCUUAUGACUGCCACAGCCUCGACCCAUGUACUCUUACAUGAUCCCAUGGCCAUCUUAUGACUGCCAC
rnacentral:lncRNA from 1 species